ensembl:lncRNA
AGCCAGGCUUGUUGGGCAAGAACUUCUGCCUGGUGAGCCAACUCUCUAGACAAAUCACAGAGAUUUGUCUUUACACUGGACUUCAGAUCUCAUGAUACCUUCACCUUACGUAUAUCUUUGUGUCAUAUUGGAUGUCAGUUAAACCCUGUGGUGUCCUCGAUUUUCCGCGAGAGCCUUGAAGCAAAGCGGUUAACUGACUUGCCAGGAAGGAAGCUUGAACUUUUCUUAAUGUCUGCCUCUCAUGAGGUACAAAUACUCCUCAGCCUAAAGCCGUUAAUUGUCUGCACAUCUAAGGCGCUUCUAAAGAACAGUGGCAGGCUUCCUGUUUAUUUACACUUCUUACACGGUGAGGCACAGCCUGACUCUGUGACUACAAACCUGACGUGCUUGACACUACCGCCAAAAUAAUUUGAAAUUGGACCUAAUGUGAGUUAUAAAAGCACGAGUUUUAUAACGUUUUAGGCCCUCAGCAUACAGGAUUUGGACAUAACUGGAGGGGCUGAGAAAUGAAUCCGCACUUAGAGAACUGACUGCUCCUUCAGAAGACAGAGGCUCCGUUCCUAGUACCCAUACAAGGCAGAUCACAGCUCCUUGAAACUCCAGUUCUAAGGGAUCUGAUGCCCUCUUUGGACCUCAACCAGCACUCAGAAAGCAGAGGCAGGAGGAUCUCUGGUAUGUCCCUCAGAAACUGUGGGAUCAGAUUCAAAGGGAUCUGAGGACGAUGAAGAAAGACACCAAGAAAACAACUGAUCGUUAGCAUCAAUAUUUCUAAAGGAAUCAAACUUCAAAGUCGCUUCCUACUGUCACUGUUACUGGAAGAGGUGAAACCGGCAAACUGGAAAUGAACAGCUGAGUCAAGUUGUCGGCAUGUGUUAGAAGGGGUGAAUUAGUAAGCAGAAUCCUUCUGAGGUCUCUGCUUCACUCCCUGCCUCCGGGUUCCUGCUUUGAGCUUCUGCCCUAGGUUUUCUGGAUGACGGACUAUACUGUGUAUGAGAAAUAAAC